CUCCUCAUCGCUACCCGUCCGACCAUCUCUCUCAACCUCAUCUCCCUCUUCCCCUUCCUAGAUCAAUGCACAGCACAGCUUGUCUUUUGUUUGACUAAGGACGCAGAGGGUAGCAGCGUAGGUAGCCUAACCCAUGGAGGACGAGGUGACGGAGUUGCAUUCCAUCCCCUGACGCCGCCUCCAGAAUUGGUAGCGGUGAUGGCAGCUCACUCUCGCCCGCCGAUCUCCGCUCCUCCAUCUCAGCUGCACUCUCCGUCGCUCAUGCGAUCGCCCCUGCUACCUUCGGUGACCCCGCGGUUGGCCACCCCGCGGACGAUGAUGGCGUGCACGCUGAGGACACCCAGCCGCUGGUCAGCCCCAUGCGGAAGGUCGUGGUCAGCAUGCGCGGGUACCUGGAGGAGAUCACCAAUUAAAUAGCCGGAGGAAGCACUGAGAGGGCGGUAUACUCACCGAGGGGGAUCGACACCGCCACACCCUCCGCCUCGGGCCCUGGAUCGGCGUUGAGGUUGAUGCCCUGUGGCCGCUUCGCCUCUUCAUCUACCGUCGGCGUCACCGCUCGAGCUCCAUCGCCCCCCUCACAGGUGACCUUCUCGGCGCCGCCCCCGAAGAAGUCCUCCCACUCGAACGACGGGCCCCACCUGGCUGACGCCGCAGUGCCUCGCCCAACGGACACGAACUGCGAUGCGUCGUGCAUUCGGCGCAGGAUGGCGAAGAACUCAUCCACGUCCUCCUCCGAUGCCGCGGGACCCUUUUCUCCACGCGGCAGCGAUGAACAAGCAGGUCGAGGCUUUGAGGGGAGACGGUCGUCGCCGCCGCCACGUCGCUUCCGCUGGGAGGAGGAUGCAUCCAUGCACCCUUCCUGUUUGUGAAAAUGAGUCAACGAGAAUGAAAAUUGAACACUGAAAGUUAGGUACACUUUCACUGGGAUUGAUCACAAUCUACUCGACAACCACUUGACUAGAAAUAUAUCUCAAGGAUUUUUGUGAGAUUGUCAAUCCUCUACCACACCAUUUGACUAGAAAGGCAAAUAUGAUAGCUUGGACUUAUCAUCUGGAGGAUGCACUUGGAGGAAUGAUAGUUUGACCUUUUCAUCUAUUGACAAUAAGAGAAAACUACUAUUAGUGCAUAUGGAAUGAUACUUCAUCUAUUUCUCGUUUGGUCCAUGAUGCUUCGUUCCAACAUGUUGAUAACCAUGCUAAUUGAAGGUCUAUUUUCUAGCUUUAUCUGUAUGCACCAUAAACCCACUAUCAUCAUCUUUUUUGCAAUUUCUUUAGUCUUAGGAUUAGCAUCAGUCUCAGGACUAACAAGACUGGUAUCAGGAGUGACCAAAUCAUAGUACUUAUCAAAAUUAUCAUAAACCCAGUCUGGUGUUAGACUGGGUUUAUGAAAAUUUUAUGUACAUAUGCAAUUUGUAUCAUCUUCAGGAACUGGCAAAUGGUCAAAACAAGUUUAAUAAUAAGGAGCACACAUAUAGCUUGAUAUCUGAAUUGCUUCCCUUGCUGAAACAUAUCUAUCAAAACCAAUUAAAUGAACUGGAAGUAAAGCAAGGGGAUCAAGGUAAGCUUCAAAACAAUUGCCUAGUUUCUUCCUCCAGUUAGAUAUCCUCUUGAUCGAUCUAUCAUCCAGAAGGUGGAUUUUCUGGUGUACUUCUUCGAGUAUAUGAGCCUCACAAUCAGCUUGUUAACUAGUAUGUCUUCACAUCUGUAACACCUAUGAGAAUUUCAUAAUUUGCUAUGUUUCUGAAAUCAUGGACAUAAUAACUGAAUAAUGUGUCCUGACCCUGUUUCUUAAAUGGUCAUUUGUAAACUUGUGCCUCUAUUUUGCUUUAGCAAGUUCUAAUUUUUAGGUCAUAUUCUGUUCUUUGUUAUCGUCUCAUCAUGCAUUAAAAUGUUCACUUGAUUGAUAUUGUUUUCUUUUCUUGUUUCCCCCUUAGAACCAGUAAUUAUUGCAGGACUUCACUAGUGGAUUUUCACAGAAGUUGCUCAAAUUGCUCUUACAAACUUUGCUUAGAUUGUUGCCGAAAGAUAGUAAAGGGAUCUGCUUCUCAGACACCUGCAAUUGAUUCCUCCAAGGCUGGUAGGAGACAGAGGGCAAAGAAGUAUGUCAUCAGAGAAAUUGUUGGGAAAAGACGGAGACAUUCCACUGGUGAGCGACCAGAUAACUCAUCUUUAUCCACUGUUGAAUCUGAUAGCAAGGCUAAGAAUCAUGGAAGCAACAUUCCUUGCCCACCCAAGGAAUCGGGAGGCUGUGGAAACGGUCUUCUUAAGUUAAGUUGCAGCAUACCAUUUGUUUGGUCUAAAAUGGACUUCUCUUCUCUC